GAUGAAGAACUCAGCGAAAUGCGAUAAGUAAUGUGAAUUGCAGAAUUCAGUGAAUCAUCGAAUCUUUGAACGCACAUUGCGCCCGCCAGUAUUCUGGCGGGCAUGCCUGUUCGAGCGUCAUUUCAACCAUCAAGCCCCCGGCUUGUGUUGGGGACCUGCGGCUGCCGCAGGCCCUGAAAACCAGUGGCGGGCUCGCUAGUCACUCCGAGCGUAGUAAUACAUCUCGCUCAGGGCGUGCUGCGGGUUCCGGCCGUUAAAAGCCUUAUUUACCCAAGGUUGACCUCGGAUCAGGUAGGAAGACCCGCUGAACUUAAGCAUAUCAAUAAGCGGAGGA
rnacentral:misc_RNA from 1 species